rnacentral:rRNA from 1 species
AGAGUUUGAUCAUGGCUCAGAAUGAACGCUGGCGGCAUGCCUAACACAUGCAAGUCGAACGAGAAGCUACCUUCGGGGAUGAGUAGAGCGGCGGACGGGUGAGUAACACGUGAGUAAUCUGCCCUACAGUUGAGAAUACCUCAGGGAAACCUGAGUUAAUACUGAAUACGUCCCUACGGGGAGAAAGGUGACUUUAUGUUGCCGCUGAAGGAUGAGCUUGCGGUCUAUUAGUUUGUUGGUGGGGUAAAGGCUCACCAAGGCGAUGAUGGCUAGCCGGCCUGAGAGGGUGUACGGCCACAUUGGAACUGAGACACGGUCCAGACUCCUACGGGAGGCAGCAGUGAGGAAUAUUGCGCAAUGGGCGAAAGCCUGACGCAGCGACGCCGCGUGGAGGAUGAAGGUUUUCGGAUCGUAAACUCCUGUUAAGUGGGAAGAAAGCUUUAUUCGUAAUAUGUUUAAAGUAUGACGGUACCACUAGAGAAAGCACCGGCUAACUUCGUGCCAGCAGCCGCGGUAAUACGAGGGGUGCUAGCGUUAUUCGGAAUUACUGGGCGUAAAGGGUGUGUAGACGGCACGUUAAGUCUGUUGUUAAAUCCUCCGGGCUAACCGGAGAAUCGCGAUGGAAACUAGCGAGCUAGAGAGUGAGAGAGAGAAGUGGAAUUCUCGGAGUAGCGGUAAAAUGCGUAGAUAUCGAGAGGAACACCAAUGGCGAAGGCAGCUUCUUGGCUCAUUUCUGACGUUGAGACACGAAAGCGUGGGGAGCAAACAGGAUUAGAUACCCUGGUAGUCCACGCCGUAAACGAUGACCACUAGACGUUAGUCCGGCUUUGCUGGAUUAGUGUCGUAGCUAACGCGUUAAGUGGUUCGCCUGGGGAAUACGGUCGCAAGGCUAAAACUUAAAGGAAUUGACGGGGGUCCGCACAAGCGGUGGAACAUGUGGUUUAAUUCGUCACUACGCGAGGAACCUUACCUGGGCUUGACAUGCUUUUGACCGCUGUAGAAAUACAGUCUUCUAGGCUUCGGUUUAGACAAUUGCACAGGUGCUGCAUGGCUGUCGUCAGCUCGUGUCGUGAGACGUUAGGUUAAGUCCUCUAACGAGCGCAACCCCUAUUGCCAGUUGCUACUACUUCGGUAGGCACUCUGGUGAGACUGCCUGUGAAAGCAGGAGGAAGGUGGGGAUGACGUCAAGUCAUCAUGGUCCUUAUGUCCAGGGCUACACACGUGUUACAAUGGCUGAUACAAAAAGUUGCAAUACCGUAAGGUGGAGCUAAUCUUUAAAGUCAGUCUAAGUUCGGAUUGAGGUCUGCAAUUCGACCUCAUGAAGUUGAAAUCGCUAGUAAUCGCGUAUCAGAUACGACGCGGUGAAUACGUUCUCGGACCUUGUACACACCGCCCGUCACACCACGAAAGUUGUUUGUACCCGAAAUUGUUUUAGCUAACCUGUAAAGGAGGCGAACGGCUAAGGUAUGGGCGAUGAUUGGGGUGAAGUCGUAACAAGGUAGCCG